ensembl:lncRNA
CUGCUGUAAGGUCCUCAUGAUUCAAGACAGAAAAGGGCUGGAAGCCCAGCACUUUCUGAUGUUUAAAAGCAUUUUAAUCAGAGCAGCUGUACUGAAUGGGUAAAUGGCAGCAGGGAGCCCUUCACAGCUGCUGGAGAUUUUGGGCCUGCCCUUUACAUGGGCAAAAUGUGUCUUCUGUGCUUCUUGCUUGUGUGCUGCAAACCCUGUACAACACCAGGAUUUCCAUGGAGAUGGAGGCAUUGCAUAUUGUCGAGGAUUUGCUUUAGCACAGCCUGCAAAUAUUCAC